CCUACGGGAGGCAGCAGUGGGGAAUAUUGCACAAUGGGGGAAACCCUGAUGCAGCGACGCCGCGUGAGUGAAGAAGGAAUUCGUUAUGUAAAGCUCUAUCAGCAGGGAAGAAAAUGACGGUACCUGAGUAAGAAGCCCCGGCUAACUACGGGCCAGCAGCCGCGGGAAUACGUAGGGGGCACGCGUUAGCCGGAUUUACUGGGUGUAAAGGGAGCGUAGACGGCAGUGCAAGUCUGGAGUGAAAGGCGGGGGCUCAACCCCCGGACUGCUCUGGAAACUGUACGGCGGGAGUGCAGGAGAGGUAAGUAGAAUUCCUAGUGUAGCGGUGAAAUGCGUAGAUAUUAGGAGGAACACCAGUGGCGAAGGCGGCUUACUGGACUGUAACUGACGUUGAGGCUCGAAAGCGUGGGGAGCAAACAGGAUUAGAUACCCUAGUAGUC
rnacentral:rRNA from 1 species